GAUGAACGCUGGCGGCGUGCCUAAUACAUGCAAGUCGAGCGAACAGACGAGGAGCUUGCUCCUCUGACGUUAGCGGCGGACGGGUGAGUAACACGUGGAUAACCUACCUAUAAGACUGGGAUAACUUCGGGAAACCGGAGCUAAUACCGGAUAAUAUAUUGAACCGCAUGGUUCAAUAGUGAAAGACGGUUUUGCUGUCACUUAUAGAUGGAUCCGCGCCGCAUUAGCUAGUUGGUAAGGUAACGGCUUACCAAGGCAACGAUGCGUAGCCGACCUGAGAGGGUGAUCGGGCACACUGGAACUGAGACACGGUCCAGACUCCUACGGGAGGCAGCAGUAGGGAAUCUUCCGCAAUGGGCGAAAGCUUGACGGAGCAACGCCGCGUGAGUGAUGAAGGUCUUCGGAUCGUAAAACUCUGUUAUUAGGGAAGAACAAAUGUGUAAGUAACUAUGCACGUCUUGACGGUACCUAAUCAGAAGGCCACGGCUAACUACGUG
rnacentral:rRNA from 1 species